ACGGGUGAGUAACGCGUGAGUAACCUGCCUUUCANAGGGGGAUAACGUUCUGAAAAGAAACGCUAAUACCGCAUAACAUCAAUUUAUCGCAUGAUAGGUUGAUCAAAGGAGCAAUCCGCUGGAAGAUGGACUCGCGUCCGAUUAGCCAGUUGGCGGGGUAACGGCCCACCAAAGCGACGAUCGGUAGCCGGACUGAGAGGUUGAACGGCCACAUUGGGACUGAGACACGGCCCAGACUCCUACGGGAGGCAGCAUG
rnacentral:rRNA from 1 species